rnacentral:lncRNA from 1 species
CUAGUCGUAUAUGCCCGUGCGUUGCUACGGGUAAAACAACUAUCAAAUUUAAUCAUAUCAUGCAAAAGGACCUAAAUCAUACAAUGUCAAGUUAAUAGACUUAGAAGAAUGAGCUUACAUGGAGCGAGAUCAUUUAAAAUGUAAUGUCAACUACAAUUAGCAUGAUUUAAGAAGUAGGAAUAGAAAGGCAUAAUAGUCUUUUGAACUCAGUUCCGAAGAGAGAAAAGUAUACAUAAGUCACACAAAAUAUUCUAUUUUUUCUUGAAUUAAUGGUUUCAUGGUUCUUGCAAUGCUCUCUGUGGCUCUCUCUGUGCCCCACCCUCCAAUGACAUUUGGCUAGGCAGCUCAUAAUUGGGAGCACCAUUAUUGACAUGCCAUACUGAACCAAGCCAUUUAGGUAUGGCCUUGUGAAUGUAAGAAAAUUCUUUCUUUCUAGACAACAUAUGAAAACUUGAAAACUGGCAUUAAUCUGCAAGAUUAUAGAAGAAAGGCAGAUAUAAGUAGAACUUAUGCAAUCAGAUUAUAUCCAGAAUGUUACCAUGAAAGCUUUAUGCAGUUGCAUGAACGUAAGGGCCUAACAGUGCAGUGGCCAAUGAGGAUGGUUCAUGAACUAAGGGCAACCAAAUAAUUUGAGUGAUACAAAGUGAUUUAUGAACAAAUACCAAUAUUUUGCAGAUCCCAAUUAUGCAUCAAUGAAAGCAAUAAUUUUAACAAAUGACUCCUCCUUAUGCCUGCCUAGCUAGUUAGAAUAUACUGUAGAGAAAUAAGGUUAUUAGCAAUCAUAAAUAAUAAAAAUUUUGGAAAAUAUUACUUGCAGGUCUUGUGUCCUCAAAGGAGAUAGAUGAGGCAACAACCUUGAAUGGAAGAACAGAAACUGAACAAACUAAAAGAUUUUGCAAUUUACAUCAAGGAGAGGACCUCAUACAAAUGACCAUGGUCCUGAUUGGUUUAGAAGGAUACAUGCAACGGAAAUCUCAUGACAGCCAGCAACUCGACAUAGAAAUGAUGGUUUAGGUGGCAAGCUUCCUUGUAAACUUUAGGUGGAAACAGUGAUGUGGAGAUGCAGGGUUAACUACAUCUAAUAAUUACAAACAACUUUAGGUGUAAGCUCCUGAUGCAGAGUUAACUACAUCUACAUGGUAAUGAUCUACAUGUUACCACCAUUACUAUGGAUCAGAAAUUUAAACCUGAAAGCAAAUAAAAUGUAGGCACAAUUUAUCCAAGCAACUUCUCACUUCCUUCUUUUCUGCUUGAGACAACAUCUCCAAAUCCCCCUCAACAGAUCUGCAAUAAGUUGAUCCAUGUUAUUUCAAUGAGCAAGGUAUGCUUUUAGAAAAGUAGUAUAGUUUGCCAAUGAAAGGAAAAUAUUUCAGAUGUUAUUAACAUGGAAAAGAAAUAAAGUGUAGAUGAAUCAAUAACCAAAAAUCAGUUCAUCUACAAGCAUUCUCUAAUAGGUAAGAUGGACACUGGUAAUUUUGAUGGAUGCACCGGAGCAGGACCUAAAGGAUUCCGUUUCGGGAGGAAAUUAUCUACUCAGACAUAAUAUUAAAACAGAGUUUGCACAAAAGAAAUCUUUCUUGAUUAUUUUUUCCUGCUAAAUGUGCUUGCUUUUAUGCUUCAGUUUUGCAAAAAAAAAAUAGUUUACAAGCCUUAAAUCCUUGCAUAGGCAAAAGAUACCGACAAGGUAGCAAGAGCAUUAUGCCCCACUUAUAUUUAUAAAAGUAGGACAUGUUAGGCAGUUCAGACUUCAGACAAAAGAAUUAACCAAGUACCGUAUCAUCAAUAAAGGUAGAACUAAAUAAUAAACUUUAACAUAAAGUACUAAAGAUCAUGGUUCUUCAAAUGAUCGCUCCUCCUAUUUUGGCAAGUUUUUUUGUUGACUUGUUCUUUCAGAAAUUGUGGGUGGCCAAUUACAGCCCAUAUUUGGUGAAACAAGUACACCAAUCCUUUGUAACGGAGGUCAAUGCAGUAUCCAAAUUCAUACUACAAUAAAGUAAUCUUUUUACAGUCAAAUGUUAAAUAGGUAGGCGGCUUAGAUUAGAUAUGAAGGAAGUAAAGAUGAAUGUAUUCAUUUGAUAAGUGAUCAAGAAGAAAUAAAAUUGGUAAAGGACGGCUUCAUAACUAAAAGUCUCAAACCUGAUACAGAAGUUCCAAGGCUUCCCAAUGCUUCAGUGGCUGGUUUAGAUUCACAGAUAGACAGCGAUCACAUAGUUCCAUUUGAAUACAAAGUUGCUCGUUCUCAAAACAAGAUGUGAAGUAUCAAACUAUGUUCUCACGAGAACCUGGAAACACAUGACACCGAUGUUACAAGUUACAACCUUCCUCACAAAUGCAGCUGAAAGAAAAGGGAUGUUCUCCUGCACAAAACCAGUAAAACUGUUAGCGAGGAAUGCAGAUGAGCAGUCAGGACAGCACAAUGUUACUGCACUAACACACACUCAAUAAGAGAAAAAUCUCAUCUUACCCACCUUAUCGUCAUUGAAUUCGUUGGCCACCUGCGUCAUCUCCAGCGUGAUGUAGUCCGAGGUGCUGCAAAAUAGCAAGAAGAUGAAUGGGGUUAAUCUGAGACUGAAACCAUACUGUCAGAAGACCAACACAAAGCUCGAAUCGGAACCGACCCAAAGAAAUCCUGGCUAAGGAUGAAGCAAUCCUUCUCCUCCAUGGGUCCGUCCGCGUCCAUCAGCGAGGCCUCCUGUGGCAACAGGGCCGGCAGCAGCGGCUGAGGAAGCGGCGGCGGUGGCGGGGCCGGGUCCCCGUGGUAGCCGUCCUCCUCCUCAUCCAGGAGCGUCUGGCGAGGGCACGCAGUGCGGGGAGGCGGUGGCCCGGGAGGUCGAGGGCGAGGGCCGCGUGGGACGAUCUGUUUCUAGGAUGGGUGGGAGCGGGACAAAUCCGCCGCUGCCGCCUCCUCCGCGCAGAGGGUAGGUGGCGUGCGGUGGUGCGGCGACGGUGCGUAGGAUCCUCGAGUGACGCGGAAGGGGCGGCAAAGGAGGUGCGCGGCGGGGCGGCGUAGGAGGUGGAAGCCGUGGUGGCGGUGCAGCGCUUGUGGCGGCGGCAGUGCGGCCCGAGGCUCUCGCGGGGUGGCGGCUGAAGGGAGGAGGAAGGAGGCCUCGGGAGGUGGUGGCGGAAGGAAGGAGGCAAUAGGACUCGGGGGCUGGUGAGGAUUGGCAACCGGAGAGAAACAGGAAAGGGAGCAAAAGCAUGGAGAAGAGAAGUACGUGAUACCUGAGCAACUGAGAAGCCUUGAUUCUUGAAAAAUCUUGCACCAGCUUUCCUUCCUUGGUGGAGUGCUGGAGGUGAGGGAAGGCUGCUGGAGGUCUGGCCCGGUAGGCGCCGGAUUUGGCCCCCAAAUUCCGGCGGCGGCUAGGGUUUCCCCAACCCUCCUAGAAUUCAAUUCUCCCUAAUCCUCCCCCAACUGCUUUUUCUUUCCUCUCCUUUGGAAAAGGCACCCUUUGAACUCCAGUUGGGCGCCGGGAUGGAGGCUUCGGACGCCUCAACAGCGAGACAAUGCCAUGGCAAUGUACGGAAGACUCAACUUGAUCUCCAACCUGAGCGGCUGCAACAAACACAAGUAGAAAACAAAAUUAAUCAGAUCUUCGCGCAUAGAAUGUGAAUCGGGCUCGAGAUAAAUGGCCAUUGGAUUGGAGAUUCGGGAGCGUGCGGGGUCUGAUCUGUGUACCAUGGAGUAGACGCCGGCAUAGGUGAGGCCCGAGCUGCCUCAUGGCGUCGCGUGCCGCCCAGCCGUCCUCUACCGCCGCCAUCGAGGCGCACUACCACGUGCUCUCUACGUCUGCCGCCGCCGCCGUUAGGCUAGAUGGAAUCGAGCUGCAAUGAGUGGAUGGGGAUGGAAUGCCGGUGGUGGAACAGAGCGAGGGGAGGCGGCUUCGGCCGAGCGCUGAAGGGUGGGGAUGGAGUGAGGACGGUAGCUUUGUCGAGCGGUGGGGGUGGCGGGGGAUGGAGCAAGGAAGACGGCGGCGGCGGGGGAUGGAGCGAGGGAGACGGCGGCUUCUAUUUUGCGAGCCGCUGCGAGGCCGCUCCGCCGCCCCUCCCUGCUUUCCGCCGGAUCCAGAUCCGGCACGAGGCGUAGAAGAGAAGGCGGGCAUAUCUCGGCAGAAGGGUGGCGGCGGGGGGAGCGCAGAAGCUGGCGGCGGACGGGACUGCAGACAGGACCUCCUUCGCCUCUUUGUUUUGGAGAAAGAGAAGCAUUUUUCUCUUUAACCCCCUCCCUUCCCUCCUUUUUCCACCCGAGCCAUUCCUCUCUUUAGAAUAUGGACUGCGGGUUGAUUCCUUCAAAGUUGAGGGACUUUUUUGCAAAAUGACCACGACGGACGAAAAUUGCUGGCAGAAACGUUACUCGCUUUAAUAAUAGGUAUAGAUUUAUUGAUCAGUGAACCAUUGCGGGUGGGUAGCGAGAAAGCAUUUUUUAUAUGCCAAAUCUCAGUCUCCAACCGGCAAGAUGUGGUGGAGAAUGCGCUAAAGCACUCUUGCUCUAGUUGCUUAAUCCGUUGCUUGUUUGGAUAGACUACAAUUAUGGAACAAUGUAGAGUGUGUAAGCAAUAUUAGGUGGCUCUCAAAAGAGUUGUCUGCUUCCCACGGCAAUGCUCCAUUGCCUACUCUUAGAGCCGUAUCUUCUGAAAAAGAACUAAAUCACUGAAUUCAAUCUUGUCAAUGCAAUAGUGAGUUUUAUCCCUCCUAGAAUUACAGUACCCCAGGCUUGUACUGAUUCGCGCACCAUACUAUAACCCCGGUACCAGUGUGAGUGUACCAUCCACAAUGAAAGGGCCGAGGCUUUUUUGAACGAUCUCAAUGAGCGCUUCACCCAUCACUGGUGAAAAACCUACCUUAAUCCCAUUUGGUAAGCGUAUGUCUCGAAGGACCAACCAGGACUAAUCAUUCGGGACAAAAGGUCCCCUCUUUAGUCUCGAUUGGUAUUACCAACCGGACUAAAAAGGUUUCAAAAAAUUUUAAAAAAAAAGUGCCCGCUCCGCGCCAGGCCCUCGCCCGCCGGCGCCGCGGCAGCGCUGCUCCGCCCACACUGGGCCCACGCCCGCCCACCCGCUCAUGCCCCCCCCUCCGGUGCUCAGCUUGGAAGAAAGGGCCUGUGCGAGAUAAGGGAGGGGAGAGGAGGAGAUAAGGUGGAGAGAGAGGGGGGAGACUAAAGGCUCGAGGAAGUGUUUAGUCCCCGUUGAAAACACAACCGAGACUAAAGGGGGGGCCUUUAGUCCCGGUUGGUGUUUUCAACCGGGAUAAAAAGCCCCCUCGUUCCACUAGCCGUUACAACUGGGACUAAAGGGGUCUCUUUAGUCCCGGUUGAUAUUACCAACCGGACUAAAGAGGCCCCCGUCGGUGGCCAUCGGUGGUGAAUUUUUGACUCAGGACUAAAGGCUCUUUAGUCCUGGGUCCAAAGACAACCGGGACAAAAAAAACGUUGGAUGGAAGGUCUCUUCUACCAGUGCAUGGAAAGAUCACAAAGAACUAUAAAUAAAGCUAGGCAACAUCAACAAGAGCAAUUCUCAGUUAGCUCUUCUUUCACAAAACACAAAUCCUUUUUGUACGAACGUGUCCUUGUUGACGACUAUUAGCGCGCCAAUUUGAACCGCAAGCGCACGGAUCAGUGUAGCUUUUCCCUUAGAGUAUUCAUCCAAGGUUUAUCAAUCCGUGGAAACAAGGUCACAAGAUCUAGACUAACUAAGCAUCGGAAAACAUGAUUCUGGUUGCAGGAUGGUUGUGAAUACAGAUGAAUAGACAUGAGUAGAUACGAAGCAUGAGCAGAUAUGAACAAGAGGUAACUCAUCGAAAGCAAAGCCUAGACUAUACAUAUGUUGUAGUUCUAGCUAGAUGGCAACCAAACACAUGGUUCUCAUUCAAAGCAUCUUCAAACCACCACCUCCGGUAUGACUUCCAAAAACCCCCGCCUUACACGGUAUGAGACCCUAUCAUGAUCCUACCUAUCAGCGCACAAAGUCUAAGGGCAUGAAAAUAAAGCACACGUCUAGCUGUUAUGAUAAAUCAGGCAUGCAAAUCUAGUCACCAUGACUAUAAGAACACCAUAUGCAAUCUACAACAUUUAUAGAUUGGAAUAAGCAAACUCAUAAUAGUAGAAAUCAUAGAAGAAGGCAUAUGGAUCACUAUUGAAUCGAAACUCAUCUAUUACUUUACCAUGAAUGAUUGUUCAUGACAAUAUCUCUACUGAGGCCAUGCCCGCGACUUGUGAAUCCUAGCUCCAGAGCUCCGGCGUGGAUCUUCCUCGCAGGGUGAUCACACCUUCCAAAACCUAGCCUAAGCUAGCCUUCAGACAACUGCGUGGCCCUCAGCUCUCUGUAGAUGGUUGUCCCUCAAGUUCCUCGGCUCAUUUCGCUUCGAAUCUGAACUCAUAUGCCUCGUACCGAUGGAAAAUCGGGGUAUUUAUACCCUACAGAGGUUGUCAUCCAAAAGGGAAGUCAAAUGGUCGAAGGAAAGGCCCAAGCCAAUCGGCCUAGGGGUGUCUAGGCCGAUCGGCCCAGCCCUUCCUUUUACCCCCUCGCGUCCAACUUUAUCGCCAAGUCUUCUCUAAUGUUCUAGAAGCUUAUUUUCACUUGCAUGUAGCCUAGCUUGAUGAUAGCUUCGGGAUAAGAUCGAUCCUUGAUAACUUUCCAAAUCUCUACUUGAUCUUCUUUGAUCCCAAACUCAUCUUGCCAUAUCUUGUGAAACUUAGCCCCUAAGUCUUCUUGGAGGAGUGCUCGCCAAAAAUGAGCAUGAUCGGGGCCCUGAAGACCCUAGGCCAAUCGGCUUGGGCUCCAUAGGCCGAUCAGCCUAGGCCCUUUUUGGGCCCGUUGGCGUUCGUCUUUCUCUGGGUUGUUGCUUGUACAGGACCUUGUCCAAUUAUGCUCCAUUAUAGUCUAAUUUCCUACGAAAACAAAAUGUCCUGCAAAAUACAAUGCAUUUGCAAAAACGGCUCGAUUAUUGAGUAUGAUCAAUAGUUAUGAUAUCAUUUGUAUGCCAAUAUUGAAGAUAAACAGGGGUAAAAGUGUGUCAAUAAUAAGCAUCAACAGUCCUUCAUACCUCUUCAGUCCGUUUUCACUCCGUUUAGCUACCGGAGUUGUUUAGCUUCCUUUCAUGGUACUUGUCAUAGGUAUAGAUGUCUAGAUGGCCCGCGACCCGACAGGCUGCCCGGAAGCCCUUUUUUUGGCUCGAUCCAAGCCUGGCCCAGCUCGGCAGCCUUUGUGCUCGUGCUAGCCUGGCCUGUUAGCUCGUGCCGGGUGUGGGCUGUCACCCCAGCACAUCAGGCGGCCCAGCCCAGCACGUAGUUAACAAGCCGGCCUGGUAGCGGCCCGCCUCUCCGCCAACGGUCGGGAGCCUGGGGAGGGGGCAUAUAUAAUCCCCCCCAGCGGCUGCCCCUCGCAACCCCACUCCCCCAACCCUAGUCGCAUUCCCUACCCGUCUUCGCCACCUCCUCGGCUCUCCUCUCUCUUGGCUCCUCCGUCGCCGCCUCGCCUCCGGCUCUGGUGAGAUCUCUGGCUCUCCGCGCUGCGGGACCGCGACUUUGUUCCGCAUCUUGCAUCUCUUCCUCCUGUCUCCUCCUCGGCUCCUCCUCUACUGUCUUCUUGUCACCUUCUAUCCUCCUCCUCUAUGCCUCCGCAUCUCGCCACCGUUGGUCGUCAUCUUCACUAUCUUGCCGUCGACCUCUCAUCCUUCUCCGGCUCCGAGCUCCGGCUGCACAGGUAACUCCCUAACCCUAGUCCUUGGAUCUAGAUCUCGAGUUCUUGUCAUCUCAUUUUUGUGUUUGUGUUCUUGUUCUCGUGUUCGUGUCUGUUUUCUUGACUUUCCUCAUCUGCUUUUGCUUGGCUGCAGGUCUCGGGCUGGUGCGCCAUGGGGUCGCACGCUGUUGAGGAAUGGAGCUGUCGAGGGCGGAGGUGGAGGUGGGCUGCAGCAUAAGGUCGUCGUGAUGGACGACAUGGAAGAGUACACCAUCAACGAUGACCUCAGGGCCUGUGGGCUGCCCGACGACGACGAGGAUGACCUAGCUGCCAGUGGUGAGGAUUGUUGGGUAGCUCUGUUGCUCCGAUCAAUGUGGAUGGCGGUGAUGAUGCCAAUGCUGUUGGAGGUGCAAGUGCUGGUGUCGGCGCGUCUGCGACUCAGACGCCGUCCACAAUGCUAUCCUUGACACCAUCUGCCUCUACUAGCACUAGUUGUCGAUUGAAGCAUGCCAGGUCUGCUGCCUGGAACGACUUCGAGGAUAUCUAUGAGACUUUGCCCACCAGCAAAAAGGUGAGAGUUGCUGCUAAGUGUUGUCAUUGUUCUCAUGUUCUUUCUAGGCGUUCUUCUGCUGGUACUGGGUAUUUGCUCCGGCACCAGAAGGUAUGUGUUGCUCAAGCUAAUCAUGUUGCUCUAGUUUAGUCUCAUCUUCAGUUCAAUGCUGAUAGUUCUAUCCAUACCUGGGAGUAUAAACAUGAUGUUGCUCAUAGGGAGUUGUGUCGUUUAAUUGCUAGACUUGAUUUGCCUCUUGGUUUUGGUCACAAAGAUGCAUUUGAGGAGUACAUUCAGCGUGCUCACAAUCCUCAUUUUGCUAGAGUCUCUAGUCAAACCACAACUAGAGAUCUAGAAAAGUAUUUCUUGGAUCGCUGCGCUUCUCUAAUUGAAUGUUUGAAAUUUGUUUCUUCUGUUUGCCUGACAUCUGACAUUUAGGACUGCAAUUUCUUAUUUGAACUCUUCUAACCAACGCAUUGCUGAAUUUCAUAACUUUUGCAUUGUUAAGGGGUACGCCCUCGUAAGUUUGGUUUGGAUAUGGAUGUGAGAUGGAAUUCUACUUAUCUCAUGCUCAAGCACCUUAUACCAUACAAAUACACCUUCUCUAUCUUUGUUGGUGCUAAUUAUGACUUGGUUAAUGGUGAGCCACUACUCAGUGAUAGUCAUUGGACUAUUGCUAAGAAGAUUAUGGAGUUUCUUGAAAUGUUUUAUGAGUCACCUAUUGUUUUAUCUGGUGUUUACUAUCCAACAAGUCCUUUGAUGCUGCAUCAUAUUAUUGACAUUGCUGGUCAUUUACAUGACAAAGAGACUGAUUCAUUACUCAGUAGCAUUGUUACUCCUAUGAAACUGAAGUUCCUCAAGUAUUGGCAGAAUAUCCCUCUUUUGGAUCCUAGAGCCAAGAUGAGAGGUUUUCAUAGUGUUCUCUCCAGUUUCUUUCUCAGACCAUUGGUGUUGAUUAUUCUAGUUACUUCAGUGAGGUAAGAAGUGAAUUAUAUAAAUUGUAUAACAAGUAUGAAAACAAGUUUGGUGCAUGUAGGUUACAGAGGCCCCCUCAAGUAGCAGGAUCUACCGGUAAGAAAAAAACAGCAUGGGGUAAGAUAUUUGGGGCUCCUGGUACUACUUCCAGUGGUUCUGGUUCUUCAAAUUUUGCAUAUACAUCUUCUCUUGCAGGCUCCUGGUACUACUUCCAGUGGUUCUGGUUCUUCAACUGCUCUAGCAUCUACAUCUUCUUCUGCUAUAGCAUCUGUUUCUGAGUUGUCUUCUUACUUGGACAGCGACACAAUCACAUGUUAUGAUGAUGAAUUCAACAUUCUAAGUUGGUGGUAUGAGCACAAACUUACAUAUCCCAUUCUGUCCAUACUAGCUAAGGAUAUUAUAUAUGUUCCAGUUUUCAUUGUUUCUUCGAAGUCUUGCUUUAGUCUAACUGGCAGGGUGAUCGAGGAGCGGUGACGGCGGUUGCUGCCUCAUACGGUGGAGAUGUUGACCUGCAUCAACGACUGGGAGUUAGGAGAUGCAAGGGCACAACAAAAUGGGCCUACAAACUGGACUGCCACAUCAGCAUCCACAUUGGCAGCCAUGUCAGCAGACAUGUUAGCCUAGUGGUGACAUGACCAUUCAAUCCAUGACAGUUAUUUUCGUCACUAAUUUUGGGCUUGGGUUGGGCUGUGCGGACCUAAGUCUAUUUUAUGACGGUUUAGAAACAUCACGGAUUGGGUCGAUCUGUGAUGAUUAUGCAGAACCAUCACAUAGGUUAAUCUGUGACGCUCAAUACAUGACAUUAUCAAAAAUCAUCACAGAUGUUGUUUUAUGACGGUUUUUCGGUGAUCUAUGAUGAAAUUUGACCGUCAUGAUUUACAGGUUUUUUUAGUGUUGCUGCCUCUUUCUUUAUGCGAGGCGUCUAAAAAGGCAGAGGGAGAAGAGAGAGUCAGCUAGGGUUCUCAGUGAGGGCGUCACUAGUUUUAUUCAAGCUACGGGUGUCGGCGUCCAUCGGAUUGAGAGGGAUGGCUGAGAUCACGCAAGGAUUAAGCUGGAUCUGUAGUUGUUUUUGCCGAAAGUGGGGGUGCGCGGGAUUUAAGUGGGCUAGGUUGAAUACAGUCCGUGGUUGUUUCAACUCCAAUAAUUUAUUCUUUAACAUUUUCGGCUGCACAACUACUAGUAUAAGCUGCCCGAAUCACAUUAAAGUUUUAUGUUGAUAUUUAUUUACCGCAUUUUUCAUGCAUUACUUUUUUGAGAAAACAGGAAGGGUUACCCCUACUGAUUAGAUACAUAUAUUUAAAGGAGAAGGACAAAAAAAACAAGUUUCGAGCAAGAAAAAAGAGAUAAAGAAAAUUAGCAAAAUUAUAAUAGAGAAUAGUGCUUGGACUGUUCCUUUGCUCGUAGAAUAACUAGAGCAAAUUUCCUUUUGAACCCAAACCAACAAGGAGAAAUAUUAGGUUGGAUGCCAUUGAAAAUCAAGUCAUUCCUUGCCAAUAUUAAGGUAUUUUUAUAAAUAAUUGUUAUUACCAAUAAUGAUAAAUUACUUUUGGACAUUUGAUACAUUUUAAAAAUAAUCAGUACAUGUCAUAAAUCUAGUUCUCACCAUGUGUUUUGGUCAUGCUUAUUGGACUAGGGGCAUACUAGGAUUUUUCUUUUCAAUGGAUGAGCAUAUUUUGCUUGUAAAGAUAUAUGAUCCUUCUUCCUUCCAUUCAUGUGGUAGCACCGUAGCAGGCUGCCUGCAGCCUAUGAGAUGCCAUCAAUGUAUCAUGCGUGCAGAUCUUGUACACCAUGAAAUGAAAGGCAUGCAGAAGAAGAGCAGGUCGAGGAGAGGGGUGAUGCUUAAGGCCGGUACGACUUUGGAUGAAUAUGAUCAACGAGUAAGGUUAGUAAUUUAGUAUAUAUGUUGAGUCAGGGAUGUUGGUACUAUUUUUUGUACAAAUUAGUAACACUAGCAAAUAAAUGUCCUAAUUAACGUUGCAAACUUGCAAAGGUCUCAGACGAAGGAUUAGAUGGAAGGAGCAUGAAUGUGAAUCAUUCUUUUUAUGUGGACUGUAUCUUGUAAGGGAGCACAAAAUAAAAACAACACAAUCGAUUUUGAAUUGCAAACUCCAAAAGUAUAAUGUAAAUUUAGCUAAUCUUCCUUUUAAAUAAUCAUUUCAAGAUAACCAUAUCCGUGUAGUUUGUGUAGACGUACUUAGAUAAAACAAAAUAAUGAAAAUUGGAAUAUUCUCUAACUCACCCUCACACUUUAGAAAGUUGAAAAUGGACAUUCUCUAGGAAGGACCUCGGUCUGAAUCCAUUGAUUUAUACAACAGGUUUUCAUAGCGAUGGACUUCUUAGCAGGGAGUAUUGUGUCGCAUCGCACAUCGUGCUUUUCAUGGUUUCUCUUUGCUUAUUUUUACUCGGAUGUCAUGUUUGCAUGGAGAAAACAUGGUUGUAUAGUACAUACAAGUUAAAGGAAAAUGGCUGAAUGCUAUAUGAAGGAUAUCUUCACAUUAGGAAUGAGAAGUACAAGGCUAGGAAAGAGAGAUAAAAAAAGUUACAUCACAGUUUGGGGAAGAGGCAAGUAAUAUUUCAGUGGCACUUUGCUAAAGAAAAUUGUGUUUAUAGUGUUAUCAUUCUAUCCAUUAUUUCUCUAAACCCUCUAUUUUCUUUUGCUACAACUCUUACAAGAUGUUGGGGGAAGUGGCAGGUUGGUACCGGUGGUGCACAAGCACAUGCACGUGUUGCAGGUGAUAGUGUUUCUAGGGACAAAAGAAAAGGGUCUAAAGAUUAAAGGUCAAAAUUAACGUUCAAUGAAGCUCUUUGUGCUCCAAUGUCUGAAUCUUAGCGAGCACCAUUGGGUGCAGAAGUUAUGAAAUCCUUGCUGAAUGGUCCCUCUUUCUUGGCUUGAUAUUCUUGAGAUUAAUCAAGAAACACCAAACAGCCCUGAAAAUAGGAUAUGCAUUUUGUGCUACGAUAAGACCAUGUACAUUUUUUUAAUAAACAACUCAAAACACUCGUCAUAACCAGCAAACUAUACGGCUUUUAGAAACCCGUAUCUUUAGAAACCGAUAUCUUAUGUGAUUUUCGGUGUUUGAGAUUGGCCAUCGGAUGCUUAUCCUUCUCACUUCUUAGCCCUAGCCUGCAUCCCGUGAGUCGUGAGUUUGUGACCCGCCGCGGCCCCCGACCUGGAUGUGCGCUACACGCCGCACCGGCUACAGCGCCGCCGCCCCCGCGCCGGACAUGCGGACACAGAUCGGGUGCGAUGGUAACUGCCACUGCAAGAUAAGAAGUGGCCACAUCUGAGCCAUCGAAUGGACAAGCAACGACUAGGAUCGGAGUCCUUGUUUCUUCUCUUCUCCUAUCCUUUCUCUGCUUCACCCGGACGCCGCAAGGAUGCCACGCCGUCACCUACUCGCCUUCGUGAGAGUCAACGCUCCUCCAAUGCCUCUUCCUGCCGCUCGGUGGAGGCACCACUGCUCCUCUUGCGCCGGAGCAGCCGUCCUCAUCCCACCUCCUGGAGGCGCAACGCCGGCGCCAAGCCAGGCGCACAUAUCCAAAAAGGCCAAUGCUGCGCCAUGGACGAUGCCCGGCAGCAGCUCGAGGAAUUGCCGACAGGGUCUGUGCGUGGUCCAUCCGACGUGCCAGCGUGUUAGUUAACUAAUUUCUGCAGAGCUGAAUUACAGUCGUAAAUGAGCAAAUCCGAUCGAUGUGUUGCUUAAGCUUUGUGUCUCAUCGCAAGCUGCUAGCACGUCAAGCUGCACAAUCUGUGUCAAGCUGGAGCGCGCCUGUUGCCGCAGCGCCGGUUGCGCAGAGCCGGCAAUUGACAGAGGGACAUGCAGGGCCAAGAGCCACAAGGUCGUCGGCCCGUCGCCGCGGGUCUCCUCACCAUGCUCGAUCGGUGGCGUUCACGGUUCAAUUCGUCGCCGUUGUGCAAGUCCUGUAGCGGUGGCGAGACGUGCGUGCACCUGUGCCUCUGGCGAGGUGUGCAUCGUGCCCAUCCGGCAUCCUAAAUUAAGGCAUGUCUGAGGUCCUGGGCAAGGAAGACAUCAGGGAGGAGGUGCAGCACCUGGACAGGAGAGAGGGAGGCGUGGGGAGUGGGAGUAGAGGAAGGAGAAGGGAGCUUGAUUUGUUUUGCACGUUGGAUGAUCUUUAGAUGGCUGAGAUCUUGCAACUGCUUAAGUUGCAGUAGCUAGUAUAACUGCACUGGAUCCAGGGACCCCGCGCCCGUGGCCUCGCCGUCGCCUUCUCAGGUCAACGCCGGACCGCGAGGCUUCCCCAGACCGACGGCGACGCUCCCCUCCCCAAGCUCACCCGGGCGCCUGCCGUUCUCUUACAGGCCGGCGAGGUAAGACCCAGCCGUCUCUUGCUCCACAGCUCUCUCUUCUCUCCUCCGACGGUUCGUGCUCGUCCAAUUCUGGUGGGUGGUGGUAGACGGCCGGCGACGAGGCGGGUCCUCCUCCUCAUUCCUCUCUCGGAUUGAGGCAUGGUGGUGGCUGGGUUAGGGUUUCCGGUUCGGGGUCGUCGGGGGAGGGCUCCAUGGCGGGGUCGAGGCGGCUGGAGUGGUAAACCUAAAUUGUACAUUGAAUUGGCAUGACCAAACUGGAGUGGUAAACCUAAAUUGACAAAUUGGAGAGCUAAUAACACGCAUAUGCUGAUUCUGUCACAGAUCACACUGGGAAAUAUGUUUUAAGUUGGUUUUGGUGUAAAUAAUUCUGAAAACACUAAUGGAUAGAUCAACAUAAGAAAUUGUAUCAAUCAACGAGGCUUUUUAUAGGGUAUCUCAGGUACCCAAAUUUGAUAUAUAGGGAUGGUAAAUUAGCUCUAAAAAAUUAAUUAACCAUUACCAGCCCCAGUUGCAGUUACAGUUUGUUGAGGCUCUUGUUUUGUAGACAAUAAUUGUUUAAUCCUAGAAGCUAGUAUUACAAGGAAAAAGCAAAAUGAAACACAUUUGUCUUAACUGAGAGUUAUUUUCUCAUGGGAGAUAGAUCUGUUUACAGUUCUUUGAACAGUCAAAUCCAAAUUUCCUUCAGAUUUUGAACACUUCAGCUGAUUGUUGGAGGGGCCACGGCCCCCUCUGGCUUGUGCUAGGCUCUGCUACUGGAUAGCAAUUUCUGAAUCAAUCAAUGGAGCGUGUGAGAAGGGCUGUGCAUGCCGGUUCUUGGUACACAAACAAUGGUACUUACCUUCCAGACCCCACAAUAACAAUUUUGCAAUUCUUUUAAUCUUUUAUCUUGUUGCAUUUUAGAUGCUGCUUGUUUUGCUUGUUUGAUCUUAUUCAACACUUAAUUUACAUAAUUGAUGUAGUUUCGACACUGGUCAUUAUUGAAGAAAACCGUAACCGUUUAGUUAUCUGACAGUUUAUUUGCUUGGAGUGGAAUAAUGUGAUACUCUCUCUGGUUGAAUUACUUGUUGUUUUAGCCUCUUUUACAUUCUUUAAAAUACCUGUUCUACAACUUCUAGGAACGCGUGGCCCAUUUUUUUGCCAGUCUUACCUUCCUUGAUUGCAUCAUUGUGAACUUCUUUCCCCAUGCAUGCAUGCUUUAGAGAACAUUAAUUGAGGGUAGGAUGGUGAUUUUAUCUACCUCUUCAGCUCUUGCAUCCAAGUCUAAAACAACAAGUAAUGUGACUAGGAUGAACUACAUCUUUUUUGUUUUGCAUUCACCAACUUUAGCAUUGCCCCAAAAGUUGUCUCAAGAUGACAUUCAUAUUUUUGCAUUUGCCACCUUUGAAAUUUUCUUCCCGCAAUUUUUUAUAGAAUGUCCGUUCUAUAAAUAGUUGUUCUUGGCCAUAUAGGUAUAACUAGUGCUGAAGCCACAUAAUUAGCCUAAUUGUUCUGCAUUAUCAGUUUAUCACUACAUGGUGGGUGACACAUUGAGUACCAGGCCACUGGUUUUAUAAACUUCCAGGACAUCAAUGAUUGAUGCAUGCAGGACAUUGUAUUUUGCUGUUCAUUAAUCAUAUUUAUAACAAAAUGAAAUUAAUCACUGUAGCAUUUGCGUCCUGUAUUCUUUUCAAUGCAGCGAACAAAUGCAGAGGCUACUUGUUGAUUAACUUUUAGGGAUGUGAACAAUGCUUACUAUUUCUCCUUUUGAUUAAAUCUUUGGUUUUGCUAUUUUGGUUGCCCUAUCCUAAAAUCUAAGCACUGCUUGAUGUUCACAAUUAGCCAGGAAGCUGGAAGAGGAACUCGAUGGUUGGCUGGGGGCAGCUGGUCUAACCAAGUCUCCUGAUGUUAGGGCUGUAAUUGCACCGUAAGUUGGUGUUUAUUGUAGGAUGUUAGAUUUAUGCUGAUUACUGUUCUGUUGUAACAUUCUUUACUUACCACUACAGCCAUGCUGGUUAUUCAUACUCGGGGCGCUGUGCAGCUUAUGCCUUUGGCAACAUCGAUCCGACUAACAUGUGAGUUAUCUAACACAUUACCAUAGUUUUCUUCUAAUAUCUCCAGUUCUAAAAACAAAUCAAUGCUCUUGUUGAUUCAAUCAGUGCUCAGUGUCAUGGAUGUUUUCAUAUCUAUGUAAAAGCUAGUCUUGUCAACACAAUAGUGGUCCUUCAUUUAGGUGAAAACAAAUGUCAUAAAAUGCAAACAAUAUAAUGGAUUCCAUUUUUAUCCUCUUAAGUUGCUGCUGCACUGUCCACUGACCACUAGUGCAUUUGGUCCUCUCUCUGGGACACUAACCCCUUUAGAGAGUAAAAUUACUAUUUUCAUUACCUGUACCAGAAUGUACCACUUGCGUCACUUGGAUGAUGUUAACAGCAGUUAGUUUAUUGCAAACAUUCUUCUGUAUCAUUGCCACACAUGUUUUCAAGUCAAUGCAAAACAUUAAGUUUUUUACAUUGUUAAAUUUCAAAUACAAUGUAUUAUAACCUGCUUGGUUCGAUUCCAAAUAUUGCCAAGCCAAAAUCACGGCCAACCAAAAUCAUGACUUGCCAAAAUCAGGGAAGGCCAGACUUAGGGCAUGAAAAUUUGGUAUUCACUUGGUUUGGUGACAAAAUAUGGCUACCAAUGCCUUUUCUUCUUGCGAGCUUCAAGAAGUUUCUAGUUGCUAGCCAUGAUUUUGGCUACAAAUAUUGGUAUGCCAAUCUUUUGGUUGUAAACCAAUUGGUAGCUAAAAUUCUUAGGCUUGCCCUCAUUUUGGCUUGGCAAAUAUUGGGAGCCAACCAAGCAGGCUUUUACUUUGUAUAUUGUAAUUGGUAAAGGCUAGAAGUGAAGUGAUAUUCGCACAUUAUUUCACUGUUGUUUCCAUAAAUGUACUUCAUCUACCCCUCAAAAAAAAUGUGCUUCAUUCUACACUCUGACAUCAUUCUAGGAACUUUCAAAACAUGUGCAUGAUUGGUUAUUGUAAUUAUUUCUGUACAUAUGCUUCCUAACCAUAUAGUAUCUUUUUUUCUUCUCUGCAUGUGUUUCAGUUCUCGGGUGUUUCUUCUUGGCCCUUCCCAUCACUACUACACUCCAAAAUGUGCUCUAACCAGGGCUACUGUCUAUUCCACCCCAAUUGGGGAUUUGCCAGUAGACCAGGAAGGUGGAUGACUCAAUCUGGAUGCUUGACAUUUUUCAGCCAAGUUCUGUAUUACAUGCUGUACAUAUUAUACAUAAUCAAUCAACUAGUUUUCAUUAAGAAUAAUAUGUUUUGCUAAUGGUAUCGUGUGUAUGGUGUUGCCUGCAUAUUCCCUUUGUACUAUUAUUGAUGCCUGCUCCCUGGUUCUAAUAUAGGAUGCAAUGUGAUCAGUAUUACAGGGAUUGUAAAACUACAUUCCACAUAAUCCUGGGGUUCAUCACUGUUAUAACUAGAUAUAGACAUCAACAUGCAUAAUGAGACAUCUCUAGAUAUUUCUCUGAUAUGGCCAGUAGGUGUUGCUUGAGCUUGUGAUGACCUUGAAUAGAUUAUUUAGCCCACCGUGUCGAUUCAUUCUAAUUAUGCAUGAUGAGUUUGUCCUUUCAAUGAGGCCAAUCCACUUCUUUGUGAACAUUUUAGUACAUUAUUAUACUAAUUUUCCAGAUACUGAGGAACCGCUGCACAAAAAAGUUUAAAUUUAAUGUAUUCUAUCUUAAUCUACUGGUUUCCACCUUUGCAGUCAUUGAGGAACUCAGCGCUACUGGAAAAUUUGAAUUUAUGGAUCUUAGUGUAGAUGAAGCUGAACAUAGCAUGGAAAUGCAUUUGCCCUACCUUUCUAAAGUCUUUCAAGGGUAAAUACUUUGUUAAUAUGUCUGACCCAUUUAGUAGUUUCUUUGGAGCCAAAUUCUCAUGUCUAUACAUACUUACAUUUUCUCUCUUUCUAUGUUGAUUUGACAGACAUACUGUAAAAGUUGUCCCUAUCCUUGUUGGCGCACUUAGCUCCCAAAGUGAAGCCAUGUUUGGACAGCUGCUCUCUAAAUAUGUUGAUGAUCCAAAUAACUUUUUUUCUGUGUCGUCAGACUUCUGCCAUUGGGGGUCCCGGUAAGUGAUUAGCGUUUAUGUGUCUGCUUACUCAUGUUUCAUGCUCGUAUUAUCAUGGGGAAAGAUUAUGAAUUCUGGACAUCCUGAGUGCAUUUCAUGCAUGUCUAUGGCGUACGGCAUGUCGGACCUACUGGUUGACCUCACUUGCCCUCUGCACCACUUAAUUGCCAUCAGAAACAGCCACUUCAUAUCAGAUGAGGCGGGAGAGAGAGCAGUUGCCAUUGUCGUUCUUGAGCCACUGUUUUCAGUAGUCCAAUACUCAUGUUGUUGCAGCCUGUAGCUUACAAUAAUUUGUUGUAAAAAUCUCAGGGCAACAAGGAUAACUAGGGUAAUUUCACUAUGGAAAUAGAAAAUUGAGAGGACUGAUAAAGGGCCAAGGGAGUAUAGAUAGGAUGGGGAAGGAAACCUUGCAAUUUUCUUUCUUGUUUUUUCCUCUUGCAAGCUUCCCCUAUUUAAGCUCAAAAGGGUAUGACUCUUGUACCACGCCAAGCCCAUUACAACACAACCCCAAGCAUUCCCAUUUUACUUCCUCACACUUGUUUCUUGUUGCACAGCACUCUCUGCUUCACCUGGUGUGACAGCACCGUCCCCUUGAGAUGCAGCUUGUCCUCAGUCGCUGCUAUGGUUUUUAAAGCGUUAAGGCGAGGUGAGGUGAGCCACCACCGCCUUAUCGCCUAGGCGGGCUAAGGCGGGAUAAGGUGGGCUAAGGCGACACCUUAGGCGAGGCGAGCCACCACCGCCUUGUCGACUAGGCAACGCCUUAAGGAUGCCUUAGAAACACUGGUUGCUGCUACAAAUUUUUUUGGGCAGUGCACAAUAAUGCCCUAUUCCCAAAUAGCCAUGAGAACUCUACCUCAGCCGGAUCUGUAGUGAAAAAAUUACCUCUCUUACCAAACAAUGGUUCAGUAUAACCAUUUAGCUUGUCCAUAGGUUUGGGGAUGGUACGCUGAACUAAGCUGUAAUUUAGUGUCCAGACCAGCUAGUGUUUUGUCUUGAUCUUAGACCAAGGCUCAUUUACUUAUAUAUUAACAUUAUUGUUAGGUUAGAUUAUGGUGAUUACAUGUUCUGGUUUGUAUUAGUGCUAUUAAAGCGUUAAAGAAAGGCAAGGCACUAAAAAUAAACUUGGCUAGAAUUUACCUGUGUUCACUAAGUUGGUGGACAGAGAAAAGAAAACAAUUGGUGCUUCUUAUAGUCCCAGGAGCAUAUUGGUGGAUAAGUGCAUAAUGAUCUUUUAGUCCCAGGAGCCUGAACUGUAGUGCUAGAAUGAUGUCAGAAUGUAGAAAUAGUCCUGCAAUAACUCCAACAGAGAGUGCCCCUUGUACUGAAAUUGGUCUUCUGUUGGUGAGACUUGAGAGCCUCAAGAACAGCUCUUUUAUUUGCUCUUCUUUUAGAACCAAUGCAAAAUGCCGUGGUACAAGAUCAUUGCCCAUGAAGCCAUCUGUCCUUCCAGAACCCCAUCUCCAAUUUCAGGAAAAAAGAAACCUGCUAAAAGAAAGCCUGACCACAUUCAUGUACCUAGGUAGGGAAAAUGGACCAUGGUCGAUUGGGCUCAGUUUUUUGGGGUCAUAGUCAACGCGUUCUUAGGGCCCAGUCAUAAGAUCUUGUUAUUACCUCUUUAAGCAUAUGAAGAUUUCUUUGUUGUUGAUUUUUUUUCUUCAUCUAGUAAACAGAAAUAAAAUUUUGUUGAUCCCUUUCUCGCAUCAGGUUCAAUUAUACAUACUAUGAGAAGAAACAUGGUGCCAUUCAUAAAUCUAUUGAGGCCUUGGACCGUAUGGGCAUGGAGAUCAUAGAGACUGGUGAUCCUGUUGCAUUCAAACAAUACCUGCAGGAGUAUGAGAACACCAUAUGUGGACGCCACCCCAUCAGUGUCUUCCUUCAUGUAUGUAAACCGACUUUCUUGGCUAUGGUAGUUAAUGCUUAUUGCUUAUCCUUUAUUUUACCAUGUUCUCAUCCAGUGUGCAUCAAUUUUUUUCAGAUGUUGAAACAUUGCUCAACAAAGAUUAAGAUUGGCUUUGUUCGCUAUGAGCAGUCAAGCCAGUGCAAGAACAUGAGGGACAGCAGUGUGAGCUAUGCAUCAGCAGCAGCGAAGGUUGACCCAUCAGGGGAAGAAGAGAACAAAGAUUGAGCGAGCUAUGGAUUGUCUGAUGUAGUUGCGAAACCUUGGCGCAACAUGUGUGAUUGGUUUGCGCUGGUCCUGUCAAAUUUGUUAGCAUUGGCACGAUGCCAGUUUGUAAUAACAGGGCCUGGUUAAGUGCCGAAUGUAUCUCCGGAAACGCCGGGAGACUAGGCAAUCAAUGAAACUUUGUUUGGGGAUGUGUUUCUGUGUGUCUGCAGUCUACCUGUUGAGCCGCGUGAGGUGAUGCCUGUCUUUGAAUCAGGUAACUUUUACGCGCAAAUGUGGUUCUCUGCUCACUGAUGCAGCAUCACCAAUUGAGCUUUAGUUUGUCCGGAUCAUGUACAGUGAAACUAGCUGAUGGGGUGUUGGUUAGUACCUGCUUAGCCGUUUGGAUCAGCCAGCAAAUGAAAAUGGAACUGAUAUUUUCCAUAAGGAAAAAACUAGCGGAAGUUGAUUAGAAGGCCUCGCUGCAGCCCCGAGAAUGGCCCAUGGGCCCAUUAAAUUGGUGUGCCGUUGCCUCUUGCACGUUGUGGGCCCAUCACGUUGUGCUGCUGCACCCGCCGUCUCGCCCCCUGCGUCCCUAGUGUUCUCCCUUUCGCAGUCCCUCCCCUAAACCCUAGCGAGUUUCUAGAAUCUUCCAGAACCUCUCGCCGCCCCCCAAAGUCCCUACCCCUCGCUCAGCAGCCGGCGCCAUGGACCUGGACCCCGAGGGCAUCUUCCGCGACGACAGCGACGAGGACGAUGACAACGUGCAGGUUCGCCGCCCCUGUGUUAUUUUUCCGUCCACAUUUUUUUUAAUCUUUGGCUUAACACGCCUGCUGUGACGCCGUUUGAUUUGUGGAUACUCGAUUGCUUGCUCGGGGAAACAGGAGAGGGAGGCAAACAAAGAGAUGGUUGUCUACCUCGUUGAUGCAUCACCCAAAAUGUUCACCCCCGCGACUACCCAGGUGAGGCACUGGUUGCUUGCCACCUAAUUUGACAAGCUCGAUGCAUUUUCUUGCUGUGCGUGGCUGUUUCGAAAUUGAGGUCUAGGUUUUUUUUGGCAAGCACUACAUCAAAAUUUGGAGUCUGUUUGUUCUGGUGAGUCUUGCCAGUAGUUUGUAUCUGUUACAGUUAACUUCUGUUUUGGGGGUGUAAAGACUAAAGACCACGGGCGGGGAGUAGGUAGCUAAUGUCAUUAUCUUUUAGAGUGCUUUCUCAUGGAUUAAGCUAGUUUUAGUCAUGAUUUGGGGGAUGCUAUGGUAAAAGUAUGAGUUUGGCUGUUUUUCUUGUAUUUAGUAAUCCAUACAUUGUGUGGUUAUGUUUUGACAUAACAUUCUUUUAUGGUUUUACUUCAUAAUGUAGCAUUCUUUUGUUAUGAUUUCUUCCAGGCAGAUGAAAAGCAGGAGACACAUUUUCAUACCAUAGUUAACUGCAUUACGCAGUCUCUGAAGACACAAAUCAUUGGAAGAUCCUAUGAUGAAGUUGCAAUAUGUUUCUUUAACACUGUAUGUGCUUGCUCAACUCCGAAAGCUUUGUUUUAUUGCUUUCUAUGGUUGUGUUUCUAGGGAUUUAAUUUGUUAGAUAAUGUAUUUUUCUAUCUAAACUGUAGCAUUUUAUCAUAAUUCACAAACAUUUAUGAGGAGAAAGGGAGGACUUUCAGUUUCAGCUUAGUAGCCAAUUCUUCUAUGUGCAUUAUGUCAUAAUUCUAUUUGGCCUGUUGCCAGCUUUACUCAGUAUGCUACCCCUGGCCACAAAUAAAAUAAGUGAUAUUUUGGACACCAACACAAUACCCAAAAGGUCCAGAACACAAAGUUGACUAGUGGUUUCUACUGUAACUUAUUACGAACCUAGUAAAUAUGAUAUUAUGAUAGUAUAUUUUGAACAAAUCUACACAUGGUUAUGGAUAUCCAAUUUAAAUGUUAAUAGCCAGACUGCAUGCAUCACAGUGACCCCCCAGUGGUACUCGUUUUUUAAGGCAUGGUUACUAAACCUGUUGAAUAAGAAGUGAACUUGAAGACUACAGUGAUACAAUUAACUUGCAGUUGCAUUCAGUAUAUAAUGAAAGAAUCAGAGUCGGGAUUUGUGAAUGAUAGGUUCUGUAAGCUAGACACCGUGCUCCAUUUCAAUUGUUUUCUGAAAGGUGAAUACUUAUCUGGCUUUGCAUGAGUUGAGUAUUCACAAUUAUAUUAGAUUAUUAGUCAUUUCUUGACAAAUCUGCAACACUCCGUGCUUGUUUUCCUUGUACUAUUUAUUAACUGUGUAUGAUAGCAUUAUAAAGUAGAACCAAUGCACUGAUACUGCAAAGUAUGCUGCCUUGUGGCUUGAUCUAGUUUACUCACAACUCUUGCAGAAAGAGAAGAAGAAUUUGCAGGAUUUGGCAGGUGUUUAUGUUUACAAUGUUGGAGACAGAGAUCCACUUGAUAGGCCCACUGCAAAACUGAUUAAAGAUUUUUCUUGCAUAGAAGGUGACACCACUAUAUGAAUUGUUACUUGGUCAGGCAUGGUCAAAGUUGGAGAGAAAUGCAUGCUAAGCUUCUUUUAUACACUAAAUGUUAUGUGGACAUGUGGUUCAUAAUAAGUUUUGCUCUGUUUGGGUCUUCCUAUUUUCCCUACAUAUCUAAUAUUGUCUCCACCCACUUUCUCAACCAGAGAAGGUAGUUUCCUUCUAUGGUUUACCUUUAUGUCCUAACUUGUGUAGCAAACUAUAUGUGCCUAAAUCAGGCUAGAAGGUGUGAUAAAAAAGAAAUCUAAAAUCUGACAUCAGGUUGGUUUUGUGUUCUUAAAAAUUAAGUCUAAUGUGAUGGCUUAGCAGUACUCCCUGACUAUAUUAUCAUAAUCAUCAGGUUUCUAGUUAAUUUUGUUUUGACCUCACGAACAAAUUUGAUGGGUGUAUCAUAAGAUGAUAAGAAGUAUACGAGAUACUUGGUGUAUUAAAUAAAAGUCAGCAAAAUUCUGUUUUAUUUCUGGUUCUAAAGCUUGUUUCAACUUAUGGCAGAUUCUUUCAUGAGCAACAUUGGAAGUCGAUAUGGAAUAACUGCUGGAUCUCGGGAGAACACCCUUUAUAAUGCUCUUUGGGUUGCACAAGCACUGCUGCGCAAAGGGUAUGUCCACUUCCCUCCUUUUGCUUUUAUGCAGUGUCAUAAUUUAAUAAAUCUUGUGGGCUAUUAACAUGUUCUGUAGGAUUUAUACCUCUACCUUUCCUGGAGCUGGAGUAAUAUGCGCACUGUGCAAACUAAUCUAGGUUGCAGCAGUUUAUGCUGAAUGUUGAUGUAGAUAUUUGUGUAACAAAGAAUGUAACAUGCCAUGAGUGCUAUGACAUCCUUUUAACGCACUUCUUGAUACCCGUCUGGACUUCAGUGAAUCCACAUUCCUCUUUUGAAAAUUUCCAGAUCUGUGAAGACUGUCAGUAAACGAAUGCUUAUAUUCACCAAUGAAGAUGAUCCUUUUAGUGCUAUUACAGGAGCUGUGAAGACUGAUAUGAUUAGGACAACAAUACAACGUGCAAAGGUAUGUCUAUAUCGCAGAUAUGUAUUGUUUCAUACUACACGGCACCCACAUAUCCAAAAUGAAAUUUUAUCUUCAUUUUUUAUCCUCUAUUUACCAUAUCAGUACUUGCUUUCCUACAGGAUGCACAAGAUCUUGGCCUAUCUAUUGAGCUACUUCCACUGAGCCGGCCUGAUGAGGAAUUCAACGUGUCCCUUUUUUAUGCAGUAAGAUUCCAUUAUUCUUUUCCUUUCCUCUCAGUGUUAAUUGCUAAGUAGAUCUGAUUUCCCAGGAUUUGAUUGGUCUGGAUGGAGCUGAGAUAACGGAGUAUCUGCCAUCUGCUGGUGAAAAGUACUGUUCUUGAAGCAUAAAUGUUACUUGUUUGAUUUUUUUUAAUUAGGUCAUACAUACUUGAUUUGCAUUUUAUUCUUAUCAUCUCCUUGCACAACCUUUCAGUCUUGAGUUGUGGAUGGAGAUAGCUUGUUCUACACAAUCACAUUUGACUAGCAUUUGUUUCUGUGUGGACUUGUCCUUUUCUUUUUUUUAACAGGUCGCAAGAGCUUUGCCAAUUCGUUUGAAUUAAUGGACAUAAUUUUACAUUACAACACCCUUUCAUGUGUACACACUGAGAGAAUAAAGGGGGAAAAAGCCAUAUGCACCACGCCUUCAUAGAAAAGUAUACAUUUAUAUUUCUAGACUUUCCCGUCAUAGAAAAAUGAAGUUUGUCAUGUUGGGAACUUUUGUUCUGAGUUCUCCAUGUGUUGUUUUGAGAAUUGAGAGUAUAUCGUACUAAGGUGAAUAAGAAUUAUGAGCUGCAUUUGAGCACAUAAAUGUUUUCAUAAAUUUUUGUGGGAUUCUUGCAUGAACUACCAAUAAUAGAACUCGAAUUACUUGCAUCUGCUUGGUGCAUCUAUGAAAAAUGAUUAUAUGUACUGUAGUGGUUUUGGAGACUUAAGUUAUGUUGAUGAAGUAUUUAUUCUUUGUUAUGCUACUGGCCUGUUGAUCUCUAAUAUCAUUUGGGAAGAUUGUGCUUCCUCUGAAUGAACAUAAUUUCUUACUUUCACAUAAUUUUUUAUUGUUGUCUUUGAAGGUUGGAGGAUAUGACUGAUCAACUGAGAAAAAGAAUGAUGAAAAAGCGCAGAGUAAAAACUCUUUCAUUUGCAAUUACAAAUGAUGUAUGUAUAGAAGUGAAUACAUAUGCGCUGACCCGUCCUACUACUCCAGGCAUGCUCUAACUUUGGUCUAUUCUGUGCUUCUUUACAUAAUGUCAUUACGAGUAUAUCUAAGUAUAUGCUCGUUACUUAUUUUUGUAGGGACAAUUACAUGGCUUGAUUCAGUCAGUAACAUUCCACUAAAGGUGAGCCUACAUAAUGUCAUUACUUAGCUUUGGUGAAAUUUCAUCCCCUGCAAUCUCUUUAUGCCUGCUUUUAUAAUUCUUAAACAUAUAACGACAAUCCUUAUACAGACUGAAAGGUCUUUCAUAUGCAAUGAUACUGGGGCUCUACUUCAGGAUCCACAGAUGCGUUUCCAGAUGUACAAUGAGUAAGAAACACACUGUCACUGUCAUGUAUUUGUUUGAUUUUUCAUUUUGGGUGGUGUUUCCCUGUUGAAUUGUAUUAUCUGCCUGCUGGCUUCAACAUAAUAAAGGAAGCUCGACUGCAUGCUUGUACAAAUUGAUUUUCGUUUCAAACUCCUUCAGAAACUUUCAUUAUGAACCAUUUGAGAAAAGCCUUGGGAGUUGGCAUGUGAACCAGCCUCAGGAUGGAAGAAAUGGAUUCCUGUUGAGUAUGGCGUGUUUGCAGACAUAGAUGAUACUCAAAUCAUCUCCAAAACUCAACCCGCACCCUCAUAUAUUGAAAACUGUGCACUGUAACACCAUUGAUUUGUGCUAUGCAUACCAAGCAAGACAUUCUUGGGUCUCAUUGUUGUGUAUUUGUGAUCUUAAGUACUUACCCUAUUCAUGCAGCACGGUCGUCAAAUUUUCCGUCCGAGAACUCUCUGAGGUUAAAAGGGUUUCAAGUCAUCAUCUUCGCCUUAUAGGAUUCAAGCCAUUGGAUUGCUUGAAGGAUUAUCAUAACUUGCGACCAUCAACAUUUAUUUAUCCCAGUGAUGAGGUAGUAACACUACCUUUUAUGCUUCCGGAAUUGCACCAUUACCUAGUCAGAGUCUGAACUGGCAGUACUGCAGCUAUAUCCUUAAUGCUGAGAAUGUCUGUCAUUCUCCAUGCCGUCUUCUCUAGCUUGAGGCAGAUAAUAUAAUAGCUGAAAACUUCAAAUGUUUUUGAAUGACAAUAUUUGCAUCUUGAUUAGAUAAGAAGUCUCAACUUGACACAGUGCUUUAGAUGCAUGCUUCCUUCAACCAUGGUUUGACACUUUGUAUCAUGUAAGUUACUAAUUUAAACCAAAUUAAACCUUUGGUCAUAUCUCGAUACUCUUUUUUAGAACCCUACUGGCUGUAGAUUAAUUUAGUAAAUGCAUGGCAUAUGUACAAAGGUUACAGGAAUAAAAUUACAAUAAUGUAGAAUAUCUACAAGACCUGACUACAGGAGCUGAUAAUACUACAGAACUAAAGGCUAUACAUCAACCAAAGUUUUUUGAUUUUAACCAGUUCUCUAAAUGCAGUAAAAACGAAGUGAUGUUUUCAUAGGAUUGUUAUGCGAUAGGUAUUUAUUUCUGUCUUUUCCCCGCUCUUGCUCAGAGCUUCUAAAUGUAUUAAUAUUUUAUUCUAGGAUGCAUUUGCCAGAUACUCAGACUUACCCCAUAUGUUCUGAUGCAGCAUAUAUUUGGAAGCACACGCGUUUUUGUUGCUUUACAUAGCUCAAUGUUGCGCCUUGGAAGGUUAGUUGCCAUCACCUAUAUUUUCCUUCAACCUUUUGUGACCACUAUAUAAAGAAAAUACAAUGCAAGAAAAUAUUGACAGUUACAAUGUAGCUAUAGCUACCUUAAAUCAUCACAGUUCAUUGUGAAUUGUUUUUUAGCUCUCAUGUAACAUUUUGGCCAUAGCUUGCAAUUAUGUAAUAUAUAUGCACAGUAAAACAUAGUCACCAGCUAUGGUCGGCACUGUGUCUUGCAAUAGCAUGCCAAUUCAACUCUUGAGUCUCAGGAGAUAAGUGGUUCAGCAUGUUCAAUUUCCAUGCCUUGCCUUGCUUAGCCCAACCUUUGCUACUAAGCAAGGAAAUCCUUGCUAGUGGAGGCCCUCUUAAAGAUGAGUAACCUUUUUGUGGGCAAGCUAAGGCAAGGGAGCCUUCACUUCUUGCACAACAGCAAAUGUGCUGAGGUGUCCUAACAGAAGAAAGUUGCUUAUUUUACCAAUGUAAAUUUCAGGUUUUGCAUGUCUACACGACCAUGUUUAACAACUUAAAAUAUAUGUAUGCUUUCAGGUUUGCGCUUGCAUUUUAUGGGAAUCCAACUCGACCACAACUUGUGGCCCUUGUUGCUCAAGUGAGGGACACUUUCUUUCCAUGUUUACAUUUACUGCACAAACAGUAGCUGCUACACAGUAUUAGUUCGUCCACCAUGAUAAUGUUACAUCAAUAUUAUUGAGUACUGCACGUCAUGCCAAUUGCACUAACAAAAUUCGCUCAUCAGUUCUGUCAAUUUGAAUUGAAUCAUUGAUUGCAUCUUUGCUUGAGCUUAUAGCAUGGCACGAUGUAUGUCUGGAAGAUGGGUAGUAACCAGGCAAAAUGACCUUGCUCUAAUUUUUCAUUCUACUAAUUACCUGAAUGUAUAUUUGUAGGUCAGAUUAAUAAACCCAAAAAGUGGGGUUCUGCAAAACAUCAUUAUACAAAUCUAUUUUUAUAAGAUGACAUGAAUUGUUUGUAUGUGAUUUGCUAACAUAGACCUGCUUUCCAAAUGAACUCGGGGGGUAAAAAAAAUACAGGAAGAAGUUACUUCCUCUGCUGGUCAAGUUGAGCCACCUGGCAUGCACAUGAUCUAUCUUCCAUACUCCGACGAUAUAAGAUAUCCUGAAGAGGUAAGGACUGGCAUUUUUUUACACUUUACCGUCCGCCAUAAGAUAAGCAUCUUACAUUCUUACCUUGAUUCGCAGGUUCAUGUGACUUCUGAUGAAGCACCACGUGCAACGGAUGAACAAAUCAAGAAAGCAUCAAGUCUAUUGAAACGCAUUGAUCUGAAGAAUUUUUCUGUAUGCCAAUUUGCUAACCCAGGUAAGUAGCUAUGAAGUCAUAAUUGACGAUACUAACGUUAAGCUGUAUUUUUGGCCUCCAAGGUGCGCUGCCCCUGUGCUGCACUGUGGACUGUCCCAAUAUUUUUUUUUGAAAUGUAUUACAUUUACAAGAUGUCUCUCUAAUGUAGAGUUGUCUGCCAAUGCGAAGCACAGAUUUUAUUCUAGUUUACAUAAAUGCUCCAUGGCCAAAUGCUGCUUAUUGUACAUGCCCUAUAGCCUUUUGGGCUAACAUGUCACGGAGCAUCAAGAUGUUAUUAUAACAUGUUCAUUAACUUGCACCAUCACUGACUUCCUAAAUUAUCUGACGUGACUUCUGUUUCUUUGAUGUCAAUCAGCUUUGCAAAGACACUAUGGGAUUUUGGAGGCCUUAGCUUUAGGUGAAGAUGAGAUGCCAGAUAUAAAGGAUGAGACCCUGCCUGAUGAAGAAGGCUUGGCUAGGUACUUGUUUUCUUGGCAUUUGUGCAUGCUAAACAUGACACGGAAAGAUAAAAUAGAAAUGGCAUAUUUCAUGCUUAAAUAAGCUAAUGAUAUGCCUGUAUCCCCUACAAAAGCAAUAUGCAGUAGUCACAUGUUACCCUGUCUGUGCGUUGUGUGGGAUGUAGUUGAACUUGAAGCUCAAUAUGUUCGUUUGCCAUUCUUAUCUCAGGCCAGGAGUUGUUAAAGCUAUUGAUGAAUUUAAGGCUUCAGUCUAUGGUGAAAAUUAUGACCAAGAGGAGGCUGAAGCAGCAGCAGCAAAAGCUUCCCGUGGUGACGCUUCGAAGAAGCGGAAGGCAAUCACUGAUGCAGCCUCGCUGAAAAGUGCAGCUUAUGAUUGGGCGGAAUUGGCAGAUAAUGGAAAGGUAAGUAGUCACGUCGUCUUCCGAAGAUUAUAUAUACCCACAUGCUAAAGUUUAUUUGGCAGGUUCUCGUUCUCCUAUGAGUUAUGACAGUCUAUAUGCAAACAGAAUUCAACAUAUAACAUGUCAGUGUGAUAUGCCAAUGCAUUUAGAGACCACCUGUUUUCUGCAAAUGCCAAUAAGAAAUGGCAUGCUCAACAAAAUUCAACUAUUUAUGUACCUAAAAUGAAGCCUCUGUACAUCCUAAGCUAACAUGACAGCAAGGAGCUAUACUGCAGCUGCACUCAUAGAUCACUCCUCGUUUGGCUACGAUAGAUUUUCUUGCUCUACCUGCUGGGUUUCGAAGCAGCACCAUUCAUGUGAAACUCUACAAAUUCUAAAAAAAAUAUGUCUUUGUCAUUUGCAGUUGAAGGACAUGACAGUCGUGGAGUUGAAAUCGUACCUAACCGCGCAUGACCUCCCCAUCUCUGGUAAGAAAGAGGCACUUAUCAGCAGGAUCUUGACUCAUCUGGGCAAGUGAAGCCACUUACGUGAACUUGGUUUUCCCAAAAGCCAACUGUCCUGGACUGCUGUCUCAUGGGUAGCUUGAAAGCUUGUGUACGAUCUCCCUGUGCGUGCUACGUGCCAAUUUUGUAUAGCGAUGUUGCCAAAACCAGUUGCCAGUUGAACUUUGUUUGCUAGUUUAUCUAGAGGUCGUGUGGUUUUGCCCUUUGCAACAUGCAUCAUCGUAUUCUGCUAGAAUGGUUGGGAGACCCACUAGAUAAAACACAACUGAUUGCAUUGAAUUAAAAAAAACUAAAAAGAGAGGGGGGGGGGGGGGUGGGGGGAUCACCAGGUAUAUAUGCGCACUAUUACAAUUUGCUAAAGUGCUUUAGAAUUUACAAAAAAAAUUACAUCGGUCUUCAUUAAUAUUUGUUUAUUACUCCUUCCGUCCUAAAUUUACUAUUUGUCAAAUUUAUCUAUGUGCAUUGCAGAAGCUUCGUACCUUGAAAAAAA